UCUGACCACAGGCACAGCUCAGUUCACUCUACAAACAGAAUUAGUCAUGGAGUGCAUGUUCAACAGCACUCUGUAGAACUUUCUUUUUCAGAUUCAGUGCACGACAUCAUGGUGGACAUUCACACCUUGGAAUGAUACUUUUGCGUAACAGUAGCCAAGUUGCUUAAGAACAACAGUUGAGCAGAACUGCACGUCUUCCUCCAAGCUCUGUUGACUGCAAGAUGGAAACAGGAACCCUUGGGAAUAUCUACGAAAAUCAGGAUUCUAAUCAGUUCUUCCUUUAUGGGUCUUUUUAACUCACUUGACCGUGAAGAAAGGGGCUUGAAGCACUCCCACAAUUCUGGACCAUCCCACCGGUCUGAAAUCUUGUACUGCUAGCAAUUGAUGGGGAACGUUCUCUUUCAAUCGAAAUACGAUGUUAAGGCUGAUGGAGGCAGAGGCAGACACCCACAGCUGUGAACCGAAUUGAACUCCUGGAGCCCAGUUGCAAAGAGUAGUGAUGACCAAAGGAAUCAAGAUCAGGCUGGUGAAACCCACAGAGGCAGCUGACCUAAACAAGGGGGAACACAUGAAUCCCAGACUGAUGACUGAGGGGCCAGCAUGGGACUGAUCCAGACAUCCCUCCCACGGAAACUGGGUGACAGAGGGGAGGCCUUGACAAUCUGUGGGACCUUGGAGAGUAGAGCAGUAUUUAUUCCUGGCAUACAGAGGGACUCUGGGAACCCAUACCACGUGGAGGGAUGCUCUCUUAGUCUGGGCACAUGGGGAAGA